GCCAGCAUGGCAUAAUGGUUUGAGUGUUAGAUAUGGCUCUGGAGACUAGGGUUCGAUUCCCAGCUUGGCC